CCCAUCAAAAAACGUCUUCAACCCCUGCGAUCGCCCAAACACCGCACUGGAUUUCAGCACUAAUCAAAAAACAGCAGAUUUCCAACCUCAACAAUCAAAGUUCCGUCCCCAGACCUCCGAUGGCGUGCGUGCACACCAUGAGGCGUGAGUGCGCACAUGGCACGGCAAUCCAAAUCACGCGUGUGAGGUGCCAUCUUGCGGUCCGAGUAUAUAUGGCAACGCUGCGCAUCUACAAGCAAUCGUCGACAAUUUCCACGCUGUGCGUAAACAACAACGUUUGGAAGCAUCAAGUGAACAUAAUAACUGUAAAUAAAAACACUGUUUGUGUGAAUAAUAAAUUUUUGUGUAAGUAAUAUAACGAAA